rnacentral:rRNA from 1 species
CCUACGGGAGGCAGCAGUGAGGAAUAUUGGUCAAUGGUCGGGAGACUGAACCAGCCAAGCCGCGUGAGGGAGGAAGGUACAGAGUAUCGUAAACCUCUUUUGUCAGGGAACAAAGACUGGGACGCGUCCCCGGAUGAGUUUACCUGAAGAAAAAGCAUCGGCUAACUCCGUGCCAGCAGCCGCGGUAAUACGGAGGAUGCGAGCGUUAUCCGGAUUUGUGGGGUUUAAAGGGUGCGCAGGCGGUCUGUUAUGUCAGCGGUCAAAGCACGGGGCCAAACCCCGCCCCGCCGUUGAAACUGGCAGUCUCGAGUUGGAGAGAAGUAGGCGGAAUGCGCGGUGUAGCGGUGAAAUGCAUAGAUAUCGCGCAGAACUCCGAUUGCGAAGGCAGCAUGCCGGCUCCACACUGACGCUGAGGCACGAAAGCGUGGGUAUCGAACAGGAUUAGAUACCCCUGUAGUC